GUGCUUAACACAUGCAAGUCGCGUGCGCAGUUCCUGUAGCAAUACAGGGAUGGGCGCACGGCGCACGGGUGCGUAACACGUGGGCAAUCUGCCCUCCGAUGGGGAAUAACCCCGCGAAAGCGGGGCUAAUUCCGCAUAACAUUCCUUGGACCUUGGUUCGAGGAUUCAAAGCAGCAAUGCGUCGGAGGAGGAGCCCGCGCCCGAUUAGCUAGUUGGUAGGGUAACGGCCUACCAAGGCAAUGAUCGGUAGCUGGUCUGAGAGGAUGGCCAGCCACACUGGAACUGAGACACGGUCCAG
rnacentral:rRNA from 1 species